rnacentral:tmRNA from 1 species
GGGGGCGUUAGGAUUCGACGGGGGUUUUUGAGGCAGAAGCUGCAGGUCCAGGACCGUGACCUGGUUAAUAAAACGGAAACGGCUAUAAACGCCAAACCGAAUUACGCACUCGCUGCUUAAUCUAAAGUAGCGCAUCCCUCCUUUCCCCGGCCGGGGGAAAGAUCAGGGGUGUCACUAAUCCGGCCUACUGUCAAAAUGGUUGUCUCGCCAUUUUUACGGGAAACCUAAUGAGGCUGGCGUCAAUGGAUCCUGUUUCGGGGAGCCUGAGGCGCGACACUCAAAUCCGGAACUAAGCUUGUAGAUGCUUCUGUUGCUGGGCCUUCGGACGCGGGUUCGAUUCCCGCCGCCUCCACCA